rnacentral:rRNA from 1 species
GCUUGGGAAUAUGCCUUUUGGUGGGGACGAACAGUUGGUAAACGGAACUGCUAAUAACCGCAUAAUAGUCUACGGACCAAACGUAGGGGGACCGUUCGGGCCGUCAUGCCAAGAGAUUAGCCCAACGUGAGAUUAGCUAGUUGGUAAGGUAAAGGACUUACCAAGGCGACGAUCUCUAGCUGGUUUGAGAGGAUGAUCAGCCACACUGGGACUGAGACACGGCCCAGACUCCUACGGGAGGCAGCAGUGGGGAAGUAUUGCACAAUGGGCGGAAACCCUUGAUGCAGCCAUGCCGCGUGU